UAUUUGAAGCUUCCUAUGUCUUUCCUGGUCUGAGGUCUCUGUGCAAGUGAGUUGCCAAGUAGUAGGCGAUGGCUUUUCUCGACUAGUUUCUGUUUUGUUGGUUUAGGGUUUCCCUGUUGGGCAUUGGACAUUUUGAAAUGAGUUCUUGCUGUUGGGCCUUUGGCAGCCCCUCUAUUUUUUAAGCCAAGUCUAAAUAUGUUGAGUUUCGACGUUGGGCCUUAAAUCUG
rnacentral:misc_RNA from 1 species